rnacentral:rRNA from 1 species
GAUGAACGCUGGCGGCGUGCCUAAUACAUGCAAGUCGAGCGAACAGACGAGGAGCUUGCUCCUCUGACGUUAGCGGCGGACGGGUGAGUAACACGUGGAUAACCUACCUAUAAGACUGGGAUAACUUCGGGAAACCGGAGCUAAUACCGGAUAAUAUAUUGAACCGCAUGGUUCAAUAGUGAAAGACGGUUUUGCUGUCACUUAUAGAUGGAUCCGCGCCGCAUUAGCUAGUUGGUAAGGUAACGGCUUACCAAGGCAACGAUGCGUAGCCGACCUGAGAGGGUGAACGGCAACACUGGAACUGAGACACGGUCCAGACUCCUACGGGAGGCAGCAGAAGCGAAUCUUCCGCAAUGGGCGGAAGCCUGACGGAGCAACGCCGCGUGAGUGAUGAAGGUCUUCGGAUCGUAAAACUCUGUUAUUAGGGAAGAACAAAUGUGUAAGUAACUAUGCACGUCUUGACGGUACCUAAUCAGAAAGCCACGGCUAACUACGUG